rnacentral:rRNA from 1 species
AUUGAACGCUGGCGGCAUGCUUUACACAUGCAAGUCGAACGGCAGCGCGGGCUUCGGCCUGGCGGCGAGUGGCGAACGGGUGAGUAAUACAUCGGAACGUGCCCAGUAGUGGGGGAUAGCUCGGCGAAAGCCGGAUUAAUACCGCAUACGACCUGAGGGUGAAAGCGGGGGAUCUUCGGACCUCGCGCUAUUGGAGCGGCCGAUGGCAGAUUAGCUAGUUGGUGGGGUAAAGGCCUACCAAGGCGACGAUCUGUAGCUGGUCUGAGAGGACGACCAGCCACACUGGGACUGAGACACGACCCAGACUCCUACGGGAGGCAGCAGUGGGGAAUUUUGGACAAUGGGCGAAAGCCUGAUCCAGCAAUGCCGCGUGUGUGAUGAAGGCCUUCGGGUUGUAAAGCACUUUUGGCGGGAACGAAAAGGACUGUGCCAAUACCACGGUUCGAUGACGGUACCCGCAGAAUAAGCACCGGCUAACUACGU